GGACUACCGGGGUAUCUAAUCCUGUUUGCUACCCACGCUUUCGCGCAUCAGCGUCAGUACCGGUCCAGGUAGCCGCCUUCGCCACUGGUGUUCCUCCCAGUAUCUACGCAUUUCACCGCUACACUGGGAAUUCCACUACCCUCUCCCGGACUCAAGCCCAACAGUUUCAAAGGCAGUUCCUCAGUUGAGCCGAGGGAUUUCACCUUUGACUUAUAGAGCCGCCUACGCGCCCUUUACGCCCAAUAAUUCCGAAUAACGCUUGCCCCCUCCGUAUUACCGCGGCUGCUGGCAC
rnacentral:rRNA from 1 species